UUCCCGAACACGACUUCGUCGUCGUCUUUUUGGAGGGCUAAUGUGAGGGGCUCGUGAGCCCACCUUGUCGGGGACAGUGUGGCAGCGCCGGAUGGACUGGAUGGGCCGGAGCCCUGAGCACCUGCAGCCCACGGAGGGAGGACUCUAGAACGUGAGCCCUCCCAGACCACUCCCAAGGAGCCAGAACCCAUCGUGGACUUCGGGAGACACUCCAGGACCGCCUAGCCCAGGACUCAUACCUCCUUCCAGCCACCCUGUUCUGCAGCGGAGCCCUGAAGCUCAGACGACCGUGCCUCCCUCAGGUCAGUGCAGCAUUUCUAAUCUUGCAAAUCAGGGCUCCCCG